UACGAAGGGGGCUAGCGUUGCUCGGAAUCACUGGGCGUAAAGCGCACGUAGGCGGCUUUUUAAGGCAGGGGUGAAAUCCUGGAGCUCAACUCCAGAACUGCCUUUGAUACUGAGAGGCUCGAGUCCGGGAGAGGUGAGUGGAACUGCGAGUGUAGAGGUGAAAUUCGUAGAUAUUCGCAAGAACACCAGUGGCGAAGGCGGCUCACUGGCCCGGUACUGACGCUGAGGUGCGAAAGCGUGGGGAGCAAACAGG
rnacentral:rRNA from 1 species